AUAUUUGCCGAAUUCCUUUUAUUUAAUUUUUUAUUUAUUUUACAAAUUUAUUUUUAAAUAUACUAAUUUUAUCAUUAUAUCUAAUAUUAUUAAAUUAAAUAUUAUUUUUUUAUAAAAAUUUAAAUUAUUAUUAAAUUUUAAAAUAAAUAAAAUUAUUUAUAAAAAAUAAUAAUUUUUAAAAAAUUUAAAUUUUAAAAAUUUUAAAUUUAAUUUACAUAUAAUUAUAAAAAUUUAAUUUAAAGCUUAUCCCUUAAAAUAUUUAAUUAACUUUUCUUAUAUAUUAAUAAAUUAAUAUAUAAAAAUAAUUAAUUUAAAAUUAAAUUUUUUUCUAAAAAAACUAGAUAUAUUUAAAAACGAUUAACAUUUCAUUUCAAAUUAAUUAUUUAAAAUAAUUAUAUAACAUUAACUUUAUUAAUUAAUUAUCUCUUUUAAAUUCGAGAUAUUUUUAUCUUAAAAUAUUAUUUAAUAAACUCUGAUACACAAGAUACAAUAAAUUAAAUUUACUUUUCUAAUAAUUUAUUUUCAAAAUUUUUCAAAAUUCUUUCACAAUACUAUUUCACUAUAAAUUUAAAAAUUUUUUCUAAAAAAAUACUUUAACCCCCAUUAAAUAUUAAUUUAAAAUUAUUUUUAUUAUAUUUAUAACUUUAAUUUUCCCCUA
rnacentral:rRNA from 1 species